CCCUUAGAUGUUCUGGGCCGCACGCGUGCUACACUGAGUGGAUCAGCGGGUCAGGUUGCGCGAAAGCGUUUCCUAAUCUUUAAAUCCGCUCGUGAUGGGGAUUGACGGUUGCAAUUUUCUGUCAUGAACGAGGAAUACCUUGUAAGCGCGGGUCAUCAUCCCGCGCUGAAUACGUCCCUGCCCUUUGUACACACCGCCCGUCGCUCCUACCGAUUGAGUGGUCCGGUGAGGCUUUGGGAUCUGUGCGGAAAGAGCGUUUCGCUGUUUCUGCUCGGAAAACUCAGUCGAACCUUAUCAUUUAGAGGAAGGAGAAGUCGUAACA
rnacentral:rRNA from 1 species